UGAAAAGAACUUUGGAGAGAGAGUCAAACAGUACGUGAAACCGUCAGGAGGGAAACGAACGAGGUUGGUGCAGUGGUCGCGCAGGUUCAAGCACUGCCAAAGGUGCCGGCGUGUCGACGAAGAUCGUCCCGCGCCGUCGACCGGAGGCGGUGCCGUACUCCUCGUGACCAUUGACCAGCAGCGGUUGGGCCGGAGCCAUAAGGCAGCAGUGGAAGGUGAGUCGGUGUGAGCCCGUCUUGCAUUGACAGCUUAUAGCCCUGUCUGUACGGUGCUCCGGCGUGACCGAGGAAGCCGGGCAGCCCUUGCCCAUUGUGGUGCACGCCGAAUGGCGGGGCCUCCCGACAGGAGCAAACCGUGCGGUGUGGACUGCAUGCAGUGCUCACUGUUGCGGUGAACUCGUGCCGGAGAGUGCCACUGGUGUGCCAGUGCUGCUGGUGUUCAGAUGGCCUCGUCCGACCCGUCUUGAAACACGGAA
rnacentral:rRNA from 1 species